CACCACCUUGAACAGCAGCAGUUUGACUAAAAUAGAGCCUUGUCGACCAGCCCCAGUCUAAGCAGCUUGCCCACACCGAAAUUGGAGCAGGGGGAUAUUUCGACUGUGGAAAAGGGCAAUGGAGAAAUUUAAUUCUUAAACUCAAGAGGAAAGGUUAGAUUAUGUCUCCAGUGACGUUUACAGUGAUGUAAUGACCAAACACUCCCCCAAACCCAAAAUACAUGAGCAUGUCAGUGUUAUUUUCCACACGAACGAUGAGGAAUUGAGUUAUUUUUUCCGCCAUAGGCUCUAAGUUAGUGGGCACCUGAUGUUGUACUCACGUGCAGCCCAGUUCUUGUCCAAACAGCACAAGUAGGUCAACAGGCAUGCUUUACAAAAAAA